rnacentral:misc_RNA from 1 species
GAUGAAGAACGCAGCGAAAUGCGAUACUUGGUGUGAAUUGCAGAAUCCCGUGAACCAUCGAGUCUUUGAACGCAAGUUGCGCCCGAAGACAUUAGGCCGAGGGCACGCCUGCCUGGGCGUCACACGUCGUUGCCCCCCCAUCUACUCCUUCGGGAUUGCGGGGGGCGGAUGAUGGCCUCCCGUGCGCCUCGUCGCGCGGUUGGCCUAAAUGCCAAGUCCUCGGCGACGCACGCCACGACAAUCGGUGGUUGCGAAACCUCGGUUGCCCGUCGUGUGCGGUCGUCGCGCAUCGAGGGCUCGAAAAAAUUGCCGGGCUUCGGCUCGACUUUCAACGCGACCCCAGGUCAGGCGGGGUUACCCGCUGAAUUUAAGCAUAUCAAUAAGCGGAGGA